CUCUUGGCUUUCUUAUUUUUUUCUUGACAGUCGGGUAUAGAUAAGAAAUAGGGAAGGAGUACAUUUAUUUUCUUGCAUCAACAAGUAGAAAACAAAAGGGGAAAUAGGUACAGAUUCCUUUCCUCUUUAAUUUGAUGUGUCCCUUUGCAUUUUUCUCUUAUAUGUGCUCUUAGAAAAAAGAAAGAAAAUCUCCAACCUUUUUUUCCUUUCUUGAAUCUAUAUUGACAAGAAGUAAAAACAAGGGUACCAGGGGUACAUAUUUAUUCCCUUUUUGAAUCACUGGAGGGCAUCAAAAAGAAAGGACUACCUGAGAUAAUAAAAAAUAAGAGGGACAUCCUUAAAUCUCUGUAUUUGGAUCGGGCCAAACAAAGGAGGGGGAACUAAAAGAGGGGCACAAGAAGAGAGAGGUUUCCAGUGAAAGUUAGUUGACCCCGAUCUACCUUUAAGGAAAGCUUGAGUGGGCCUUUCGCCAUUUUCCCUUUCUUACCUUGAAGGCCCAUUGGGGUGAAGAGUCGACCAAGCUUUGACCUUGUCCAAGCUUCGACAAGUUUUCUUUUCAUUGGCUUUGAUAGCCUCAUUAAUUUGGCUUUUAA